rnacentral:rRNA from 1 species
ACCGUACUCCUACGGGAGGCAGCAGUGGGGAAUUUUGGACAAUGGGGGGAACCCUGAUCCAGCCAUGCCGCGUGUGUGAAGAAGGCCUUUUGGUUGUAAGGCACUUUAAGUGGGGAGGAGGCUUACCUGGUUAAUACCUGGGCUAAGUGGACGUUACCCACAGAAUAAGCACCGGCUAACUCUGUUCCAGCAGCCGCGGUAAUACAGAGGGUGCGAGCGUUAAUCGGAUUUACUGGGCGUAAAGCGCGCGUAGGUGGUUAAUUAAGUCAAAUGUGAAAUCCCCGAGCUUAACUUGGGAAUUGCAUUCGAUACUGGUUAGCUAGAGUAUGGGAGAGGAUGGUAGAAUUCCAGGUGUAGCGGUGAAAUGCGUAGAGAUCUGGAGGAAUACCGAUGGCGAAGGCAGCCAUCUGGCCUAAUACUGACACUGAGGUGCGAAAGCAUGGGGAGCAAACAGGAUUAGAAACCCCAGUAGUCCUUGAC